UACGUAUGGAGCAAGCGUUAUCCGGAUUUACUGGGUGUAAAGGGAGUGUAGGCGGUUUUAUAAGUCUGAUGUGAAAGCCCGCGGCUCAACCGCGGUACUGCAUUGGAAACUGUAGAACUAGAGUGUCGGAGAGGUAAGUGGAAUUCCUAGUGUAGCGGUGAAAUGCGUAGAUAUUAGGAGGAACACCAGUGGCGAAGGCGGCUUACUGGACGAUUACUGACGCUGAGGCUCGAAAGCGUGGGGAGCAAAC
rnacentral:rRNA from 1 species